ACUUAACCGUCACCAUCUGGUUCAGACACUGGAGGAGGCAGCUCACCUGUGGUAAGAAAUGCUCUCUGCAUGGUAGUUCUAAAACAGCAGCCCACCUGAAAGUGACAAACCAGGAUUCCGGCAUCACCUCUGCCCAGGGGGGCUGUCAAGCAGGUGUUCCAUGUUCUUGAUAGCUCCAACAUUCUACUGCCUCCAUCACAGCCCAAGUCACCUUCACAGCUGCACACAUCGCCCUUUCGGGGGCUGCCUACAAGGAUUCUAACUGUGCCGUGGAUUGCCGGAUCUUCAGGCUUUCCUCUAAAGUCUCUUCAGCCUGGCAAUUCCUGGCAUUCCACACUACUGCAAAACCAACAACACACGGACAGCGCUCAUGGUCUGCCAGCUGCUUGAGCAGCCGCAUCGGCCUCUGAG